UUUCCAGGAUUUCACAAUAUAUAACUGUAAUAUUUCACAGUUAAUUACAUUAUUACCACUUCACAGGCUUUAACUGUGAUAAUUCACAAUAUAAUACCGUAUUUAGACUUUUACUGUGAAAAUAAUGCAGGCGCGGGGCUUUUACAAGAAACUACUGUGAAUGCCGUCUUUUUUGAGUGGCAACUGCGGCAGCGUCAUCAGAGCGUCAUCAGAGCUCUCUGAUCUACGUGGUCUCAUUCGGUGGAUUCAGACAGCGCAUUUUCUACAUUGACCGACGAUAAAUAAAGUUAUAAGGUGCUUCUUGGGCAUCAACCCAGAGACAGGCACAAAAUCUAAGAGGCAGAGAGGUCACAUGAACCAGCAAGUCUGCACUCUUAUCUGGAAGCUCAUUGACUUCGAAUGGAUGUCAAUCUAAUUGGAUAGAACCCACACUAUGCAGGUGCCAGCUGCGAGGGAAGGAGAGAGACACCUGCGACACCACCUUUUUGUCUUUUCUUACAUCUCUCUCCCUCACUCUCUCUUCUCUGUCUCCUUCUUUCUCUUUUGACACACAUUCCUGUUACCCAGUGUCAAUCCCUGUUGCCCAGUGUUUUAUUCAUGUAAUUAAAUUGUAUUUUACUUCUAAAAAAUAAAAGUUAUGUCACUGUUUU